rnacentral:lncRNA from 1 species
UGAGGGUACCUUAUCUGUUUGUAAUUAAAAUGAAGUUGUCUUAAAUCUCUAUUUCCUAAGAUUUUCUUACCUCUUUACUAAAAACCUUAUUCUAUUACCAAGAUUAUACUUCAAAUCUCACAAUACCAUUUUUAUUACCUAGAAAAAAGUUGUCUUUAUUGUUAUUGUUCCACUGUUUCAUAUAUGAUCUAAAUCAUAGUAUGUGUGCUCAUACACAGUCUCUCUCUCUCUCUCUCUGUCUCUGUCUCUCUCUCUCACACACACACAUACACACACACACACGUAUACUAACCAUUAUUUUAUUUACUUAUUUAUAUUUAUUUUUAGAUAAAUAAAAUAUUUUAAAAUAAAAUUUGAAAAUCUUAUACAUGGUGAGUUUAGUUUUCGGUCAACUUAAGACAAGUUAAGAGUUAUCUGAAAAGAGGAAAACUCAACUGAGAAAAUGCUACUAAGACUUUCCUGUAGGCAAGUCUGUAGAACAUUUUCUUGCUCAAUGAUGGAUGUGGGAGGGUACAGCCCAUUGUUGGCAAUGCCACUCCUGGUCAGGUAGACCUGGCAGAAAUGUAGUUGAAAAUGAGGCAGAGUAACAAGCCAGUGAGUAGUGUUCUUCCAUGAUCUUUGCUUUAGUCCUGGUCUGCAGAUUCUUGCCCUACUUGAAUUCCUGUCUUGGCUUCCUUUCCUAAUGGAUUGAGACAUAUAAAUCAAGUUAACCCUCUCCUUCUCAGGCUGCAUUUGACCAUGUUCUUAUAUCACAGCAAUAGAAAGUGAAGUAAGACAUAUGGAUUAAAUAUAUUUUGAUCAUAUUCACUCAUUCUUCCCCCAUGUCUCAUAAAUGCAACCCCAACUUCAUGUUAUGAAGACAAAUGUUAUUUAAAAUGCAAAAUUCUGUAAUCAGCAUUAUUUUACUGUUAUUUCUAUUUCAUUUAUUUGGUAUUUUUCAUUACAAUUAUAGUUGGCAUGUGUGUCCAUACAUGUCAAUAUUCUCAUGUUUAGCACUAAAGCACUACAGAUGAAAGCAUUGUUGAAUGAGUACUUAUGAUACACAUUUAUGUAUACCUUGGUGGAUAGAUGCAUAUAUUUGAUGUGUAUAUCAAUACAUGAAUAAUUCUGCACAUUUGAAUCAAAGUUGAUAUGCCACAUUUUAGUCUCAGUCCUAUGGGUAAGACUGUAGAAAAGACCCAUGGUUCUACCGUCAUUAUACUUGUAAUAUGGAUUGGAAUAGAAAACAAUUUUAAAAAUUGAAUAUUUUCUGAGAAUUAUAGAUGUCAUAAGAAAUUUUGAGGGAGAAAUAUGGUUAUGGCAAAACAAACUCUUAUGUUCUCCUUUUGUUCCUGUGGUAUCUCAGUCAGGUUUUCAUGAACAGGCUAUAUAAAAUGUAGCAAUUACAUGUUUGAAAUUAUGCUGAAGUUAUCUUCUUUUUGUUACCGUUGUCUUGCUUUCAAUUUGGAACUACUAGAGAAGUUACAAUAAGUCUUAGAAAGAAACUUUUAAUGGUGUAAAAAUUCAUUAAAUUUAUCUGAAAUAUGCAAACUGAAUAUUAGUUGGUUCUAUGCAGAAAGCUUCAAUACUACUCUAUGUAAUUAAAAAGUGACUUCAAAAGUUAUCAGAUGAAAGAAAAUAAAUGGUAUUUGAUAUUUAUGCUCCUGUUCCCUGAACUAAAAUUAUUUUCUUGGUAGUUUGAAGUUUCUAUUAAUGUUUUUGAUGAUCAUUAAUAUUCAUUCACUUAAUCAGUUGUUAAAUACUUAUCAAAGCAUGCCUGCUUUUUAUAGUUUAGAUACCGUGCUGUUUCAAAGGAAUGCUCUGGAAGAGAUAUGAGAUGAAAAUUAGCAACCAGUAUAUUGUUAGUUCAAGGUCAGUAGACAAACUUCUGAGCACAGGUGUUGUUGGCUCUGGGAAUUGGCCAGAUAUUCACUUCAGAGUCUACACCACUUAAAAAUGGGUGUUUGCUUAGUGCUUUUGAGUGUUUUCCCAAAGUUUUCAUAUUAUUUUAUUGCAAAUAAAAUAUACAUUUUAAAUUAUGUACACAUUUCCAUUUAAAGAAUUAUUUUUUAUUUCAAGUUUAUUGUUGGAAGAAAAUAUUUGAAGUAAUGUUAAUUUUUAAUGAUUCAAAUAGCAUUUGAGUCCUUUAAAAACAUAAUAGUAAAUAGGUGCAUAAAAUUACUUUAGUAAUUGUUUUACUUAAUUUAUCUUUUAUGAAUAUUCACUACAUUAUCUGACAUGUACUUUGCUUGUUCAUUGCAAGUUAGUAGAAAAAGGAAGUCCAGACAUAUGUUGUUUAACGUCAAUUAAUUUUAGUAGAUUCAAAAUAUAUCUUAACAGAUAUCUUUGGAAUUAGGUAUGCAUGGAUGCAGGCAGUGAUUGCGUAUUAUUGUUUCUUCCUACAAUGAGAAUUCCAUAGAUCAUAAGAAGCAAGCCAACUCUAGGCUUGGUGAGCAGUAUUUCUGUUGGCAGUCUUUUCAGUCCCUAGUACUUAAGAUAAUAGUGAGAAAAGAAAGGCAGUUGUACAAAAUAAGUCUUGUCUGAACAUGGGCUUACAACACAAAUUUAGCACAUAAAAAAUAAAUUUGAAUCUUAACUUUACAACUUAUGCUUUCUAAAACUCUGUUUGAUUUAGUAAAAGGACUGACAAACAUUGUAAGUCAAAAUGAUAGCAUUUUAGCAGCAUUAGGAAGAUUAUACUAAUCUGUGGAAAUCUAGGAGCAGUCAGCCUUCACUGUUAACAUUAUGUAUUUUAUUGCCCAGUUAUUUAAGUGCAUGCCAUGUAACUGACCUAGGAUUAUUUGGAAUAAAAAAAAUACAAAAAAAAAAAAAAAAAAGAAACUCCAGUUGAAUGCAAAACCAACAACACAUAAUUGGUUGUCAUUUCUCAGUGGUCAGGUGUCAAAAUCAAUGUGUAGCUAAUCUAGCACACAACCACUUCUUGUAUUUUCUUAGACACAUAUUUUGUCAGACAUACAUUUCUAGUUAUAAGAAUGCAUCUUCUGAAAGUUGACUAGCACAAUAAUAUAUUAUUUUUGAGCCAAUACUUUUGUAGUCAAAUUUCAAAAUCUUGAGCAAUGUAAGAACGGUGAUUCCUUAACACUUAUCUGGCUAUCUCUGUCAUGACUCUGCCACAAUCUAUCCCUCUAAAGAGAUAUUGGUUUUCAUUUUUUUUUUUUACACAUGGAAAAGUCAGUCUCAUCUUUGCUGGUGUCCAUUACUGCUAUUGGGAUGGUUCUAACAAAGUUGCUAAGAUUUUCUUUCUUUCUAAAACAAAACAAAACAAAAC